rnacentral:lncRNA from 1 species
GGCUGAGAGAGGGUUGGAGGCUGAGAGAGGGUUGGAGGCUGAGAGAGGGUUGGAGGCUAAGAGAGGGUUGGAGGCUGAGAGAGGGUUUGAGGAUGAGCGAGGGCUGGAGACUGAGAUAGGGUUGGAGGCUGACAGAGGGCUGCAGACUGAGAGGGUUUGAGGAUGAGAGAGGGCUGGAGACUGAGAGGGUUUGAGGAUGAGAGAGGGCUGGAGAAGGAGAGAGGGUUGGAGGCUGAGAUAGGGUUGGAGGCUGACAUAGGGCUGCAGACUGAGAGAGGGUUUGAGGAUGAGAGAGGGCUGCAGACUGAGAGGGUUUGAGGAUGAGAGAGGGCUGGAGGAUGAGAGCUGAGAGAGGGUUUGAGGAUGAGAGAAGGGUUGAGGGGUGAGAGCUGAGAGAGAGUUGGAGGCUGAGAGAGGGUUGGAGACUGAGAGAGGGUUGGAGGCUGAGAG